GUAGAACAACACCAAUCCCUUAGCUCUCUCUCUCUAACACUCAAUCCGAUCGCGUUGUCAAUCCCUUAGCUCUCUCUGUCUCUAACACUCACUAAGAUCGCGUAGAAUCACUCCGAUCUUGUUCAUGGCGCUCUAUUCUUUAGGUUUUCAACUCCAUUUCGAGCAGAAUUUCAUUCUGACCGAACUCUCUCUCUCUCAAUGUAGAAGUAACUGUUGUUCGUCUAUACACACACCUCACCCUACAAUGUUGCCGAUUUCCAGGAAAAAAACACUUUAUGAGUUCGAUUUCACUGAUUUAGGUUCGAUCUACUGUUAAAGUUACAUUUCUGGUGUUUUAGAGUAAGAGGUUAGAGAUGAGUCAGUCUAAUAUCUGUGGAUUCUACACGGUGUCGAGAAACCUAAUAUCAAGGUAUUUUGUGAACAAUAACACUAAGUUUACAGUUUAACAAUGGCGUAAAGAUGUAAAAAUUGUCUCAACAAUGUACAUACAACAACAUUUGGCAAAGACAGGAAAAUUUAACAGUGACAAAAAUUGUGCUUACCUCUUCAUCGCAUACCAGAACCUCUCUACUCUUCAUCUGUUUCGAGCCUCUCCUUUACGGUAUUUCAUAAACUCUAACACACCUAACUCGUAUGGCCCUCUCUCUAUCAAGAGGGACAAUAUCUUUAACCAAAAUAUACUGACUUGGAAUGGUUAAAUUUGCAGGGAUUUUGAAUAUGGUUGACUGCUAAUGAAGAGAUGGAACAAUGGUUGGUGAAAAAAGAUUGACACAGGGGUUUAUAUAGGCUCAAGAAGUGGAAUUUGAAAUUUGAAGCUACCAUUACUUGCAGCCGGAAUAGUGAUGGAAACCUUUGAGUUUCCAAGAAAGAAAUCAGAAUCAUCAUGCUGAUUAUUUCGAAGCAUUUUUUUUUAAAAUACGUUGUUCAAUAUGUAUGUGUAUAUUUGAAUGUCUUUAGGUGUAUAUAUGUAAAUUGAUAUAUGAAGUCUUGGAAAUAGAUUAUAUUUAGGUUCUCA